rnacentral:rRNA from 2 species
AAAGAAACCAACAGGGAUUGCCCUAGUAACGGCGAGUGAAGCGGCAACAGCUCAAAUUUGAAAUCUGGCCCUCGGGUCCGAGUUGUAAUUUGUAGAGGAUGCUUUUGGUGAGGUACCUUCCGAGUUCCCUGGAACGGGACGCCAUAGAGGGUGAGAGCCCCGUCUGGUUGGAUACCGAGCCUCUGUAAAGCUCCUUCGACGAGUCGAGUAGUUUGGGAAUGCUGCUCUAAAUGGGAGGUAUAUGUCUUCUAAAGCUAAAUACCGGCCAGAGACCGAUAGCGCACAAGUAGAGUGAUCGAAAGAUGAAAAGCACUUUGAAAAGAGAGUUAAAAAGUACGUGAAAUUGUUGAAAGGGAAGCGCUUAUGACCAGACUUGGGCUUGGUUGAUCAUCCUGGGUUCUCCCUGGUGCACUCUUCCAGUUCAGGCCAGCAUCAGUUCGCUGCGGGGGAUAAAAGUUUUGGGAAUGUGGCUCCCUCGGGAGUGUUAUAGCCCAUUUCAUAAUACCCUGCUCCGGACUGAGGUUCGCGCAUCUGCAAGGAUGCUGGCGUAAUGGUCAUCAGCGACCCGUCUUGAAACACGGACCAAGGAGUCGUCUUCGUAUGCGAGUGUUCGGGUGUUAAACCCCUACGCGUAAUGAAAGUGAACGCAGGUGAGAGCUUCGGCGCAUCAUCGACCGAUCCUGAUGUUCUCGGAUGGAUUUGAGUAAGAGCAUACGGGGCCGGACCCGAAAGAAGGUGAACUAUGCCUGUAUAGGGUGAAGCCAGAGGAAACUCUGGUGGAGGCUCGCAGCGGUUCUGACGUGCAAAUCGAUCGUCAAAUAUGGGCAUGGGGCGAAAGACUAAUCGAACCUUCUAGUAGCUGGUUUCCGCCGAAGUUUCCCUCAGGA